GGAAUAUUGCACAAUGGGGGAAACCCUGAUGCAGCGACGCCGCGUGGAGGAAGAAGGUCUUCGGAUUGUAAACUCCUGUUGUUGAGGAAGAUAAUGACGGUACUCAACAAGGAAGUGACGGCUACAUACGUGCCAGCAGCCGCGGUACAACGUAGGUCACAAGCGUUGUCCGGAAUUACUGGGUGUAAAGGGAGCGCAGGCGGGAAGACAAGUUGGAAGUGAAAUCCAUGGGCUCAACCCAUGAACUGCUUUAAAAACUGUUUUUCUUGAGUAGUGCAGAGGUAGGCGGAAUUCCCGGUGUAGCGGUGGAAUGCGUAGAUAUCGGGAGGAACACCAGUGGCGAAGGCGGCCUACUGGGCACCAACUGACGCUGAGGCUCGAAAGUGUGGGUAGCAAACA
rnacentral:rRNA from 1 species